GAGGAGGCAGCGUCCAGUCCGCAAGAGGA
rnacentral:sRNA from 1 species